rnacentral:misc_RNA from 1 species
GAUGAAGAACGUAGCGAAAUGCGAUAAGUAAUGUGAAUUGCAGAAUUCAGUGAAUCAUCGAAUCUUUGAACGCACAUUGCGCCCCCUGGUAUUCCGGGGGGCAUGCCUGUUCGAGCGUCAUUACAACCCUCAAGCUCUGCUUGGUAUUGGGCCCCGCCAGUUCUGGCGGGCCCUAAAGUCAGUGGCGGUGCCUUCCGGCUCCGAGCGUAGUAAUUCUUCUCGCUCUGGAGACCCGGUUGUGUGCUUGCCAACAACCCCCAAUUUUUUAAGGUUGACCUCGGAUCAGGUAGGGAUACCCGCUGAACUUAAGCAUAUCAUAAGCGGAGGA